rnacentral:rRNA from 1 species
GUCGGUGCCUAUAACGCUGAGGGUCCACCCGUUCCCAUUCCGAACACGGCAGUUAAGCUCAGCGGUGCCUAAAAUACUUGGCUGGUAACGGCCCGGAAAAAUCGGUCGGCGCCGACU